CCUCUUGCUGUCUGGUUCUUGUUGUC
rnacentral:piRNA from 1 species